UAUGAGUGGCGGAACGGGUGAGUAACACGUGAGUAACCUGCCCUCUUCUUUGGGAUAACGCCCGGAAACGGGUGCUAAUACUGGAUAUUCACUGGCCUUCGCAUGGGGGUUGGGUGGAAAGGUUUGUUCUGGUGGGGGAUGGGCUCGCGGCCUAUCAGCUUGUUGGUGGGGUGAUGGCCUACCAAGGCUUUGACGGGUAGCCGGCCUGAGAGGGUGACCGGUCACAUUGGGACUGAGAUACGGCCCAG
rnacentral:rRNA from 1 species